rnacentral:rRNA from 1 species
GAUGAACGCUAGCUACAGGCUUAACACAUGCAAGUCGAGGGGUAGCAGGGUAGCAAUACCGCUGACGACCGGCGCACGGGUGAGUAGCACGUAUCCAACCUUCCCAUAACUCGGGGAUAGCCUUUCGAAAGAAAGAUUAAUACCCGAUAGUACUUUUUCAAGGCAUCUUGAAAAAGUUAAAGAUUUAUUGGUUAUGGAUGGGGAUGCGUUCCAUUAGAUAGUUGGUGAGGUAACGGCUCACCAAGUCUUCGAUGGAUAGGGGUUCUGAGAGGAAGGUCCCCCACAUUGGUACUGAGACACGGACCAAACUCCUACGGGAGGCAGCAGUGAGGAAUAUUGGUCAAUGGGCGAGAGCCUGAACCAGCCAAGUAGCGUGAAGGAUGAAGGUCCUAUGGAUUGUAAACUUCUUUUAUAGUAGAAUAAAGUGAGCCACGUGUGGUUUUUUGUAUGUAUACUAUGAAUAAGGAUCGGCUAACUCCGUGCCAGCAGCCGCCGUAAUAC